UGCAAGUCGAGCGAAGCGGUUUCAAUGAAGUUUUCGGAUGGAUUUGAGAUUGACUUAGCGGCGGACGGGUGAGUAACGCGUGGGUAACCUGCCUUACACUGGGGGAUAACAGUUAGAAAUGACUGCUAAUACCGCAUAAGCGCACAGGGCCGCAUGGUCUGGUGUGAAAAACUCCGGUGGUGUAAGAUGGACCCGCGUCUGAUUAGGUAGUUGGUGGGGUAACGGCCCACCAAGCCGACGAUCAGUAGCCGACCUGAGAGGGUGACCGGCCACAUUGGGACUGAGACACGGCCCAAACUCCUACGGGAGGCAGCAGUGGGGAAUAUUGGACAAUGGGCGAAAGCCUGAUCCAGCGACGCCGCGUGAGUGAAGAAGUAUUUCGGUAUGUAAAGCUCUAUCAGCAGGGAAGAAAAUGACGGUACCUGACUAAGAAGCCCCGGCUAACUACGUGCCAGCAGCCGCGGUAAUACGUAGGGGGCAAGCGUUAUCCGGAUUUACUGGGUGUAAAGGGAGCGUAGACGGUUAAGCAAGUCUGAAGUGAAAGCCCGGGGCUCAACCCCGGUACUGCUUUGGAAACUGUUUGACUUGAGUGCAGGAGAGGUAAGUGGAAUUCCUAGUGUAGCGGUGAAAUGCGUAGAUAUUAGGAGGAACACCAGUGGCGAAGGCGGCUUACUGGACUGUAACUGACGUUGAGGCUCGAAA
rnacentral:rRNA from 1 species